rnacentral:rRNA from 2 species
UGAAGGACCUUCGGGUCCGAAAUCCCUGAUCCUCCGCUGCCGAGAAAAGCCUCUAGUGAGAAUACAGGUGCCCGUACCGCAAACCGACACAGGUAGGCGAGAAGAGAAUUCUAAGACGCUCGGGAGAACUCUCGUUAAGGAACUCGGCAAAAUGACCCCGUAACUUCGGGAGAAGGGGUGCUCUAGUAGGGUUAAUCGCCCGAGAGAGCCGCAGUGAAAGGAUCCAAGCGACUGUUUAGCAAAAACACAGGUCUCUGCGAAGCCGUAAGGCGAAGUAUAGGGGCUGACACCUGCCCGGUGCUGGAAGGUUAAGAGGAAGGGUCAUCCCCGGUGAGAAGCUCUGAAUUGAAGCCCCAGUAAACGGCGGCCGUAACUAUAACGGUCCUAAGGUAGCGAAAUUCCUUGUCGGGUAAGUUCCGACCCGCACGAAUGGUGCAACGACUUGGAUACUGUCUCAACGAGAGACCCGGUGAAAUUAUAGUACCUGUGAAGAUGCAGGUUACCCGCGACAGGACGGAAAGACCCCAUGGAGCUUUACUGUAGCUUGAUAGUGAGUGUUGGUAUCAUCUGUAC